rnacentral:rRNA from 1 species
GACGAACGCUGGCGGCGGGCUUAACACAUGCAAGUCGUACGGAAACGCCCUGCUAUCUUGCUGUGCCCGGCUGCCAAACGCGUACGGAACACGUGAGUAUCCUGCCCUUGACUUUGGCAUAACUUCAGGAAACUGGGGCUAAUACCGGAUAGUCGCUCCUUCUGCUUGGUGCGGGUUGCAACGUUUCGGCGGUUGGGGAUGGACUCGCGGCUUAUCGGCUGGUUGGUGGGGUAGUGGCUUACCAAGGCUUUGACGGGUAGCCGGCCUGAGAGGGUGACCGGCAACAUGGGGACUGAGAUACGGCAGAGAGUCGUACGGGAGGCAGCAGUGGGAAAUAUUGCACAAUGGGCGGAAGCAUGAUGCAGCAACGCGGCGUGCGGGAUGGCGGACUUCGGGUAGUAGACGGCUUUGGGCGGGGACGAAGCGUGAGUGAAGGUAAUGGGUGAAGAAGCACCGGCUAACUACGUG